UGGGGAAUAUUGGACAAUGGGCGCAAGCCUGAUCCAGCCAUGCCGCGUGAGUGAUGAAGGCCCUAGGGUUGUAAAGCUCUUUCAACGGUGAAGAUAAUGACGGUAACCGUAGAAGAAGCCCCGGCUAACUUCGUGCCAGCAGCCGCGGUAAUACGAAGGGGGCUAGCGUUGUUCGGAAUUACUGGGCGUAAAGCGCACGUAGGCGGAUACUUAAGUCAGGGGUGAAAUCCCGAGGCUCAACCUCGGAACUGCCUUUGAUACUGGGUAUCUUGAGUCCGGAAGAGGUGAGUGGAAUUCCGGGUGUAGAGGUGAAAUUCGUAGAUAUUCGGAGGAACACCAGUGGCGAAGGCGGCUCACUGGUCCGGUACUGACGCUGAGGUGCGAAAGCGUGGGGAGCAAACA
rnacentral:rRNA from 1 species